rnacentral:other from 1 species
UAAACCCUGCUUGGCCCGUGAUUAAACGGCUUAUUAUAACCCUACAAGCUUAUGAUAUAGGGAGCCUUUCUCCCGCAGUGGAUUGCAGACCUCCCGUGAAAACGGAAGAAGGGAGCGUGAAUCUGUGGGGAAGGCACCCACCUGCAACACGCAGGUUAUCAUGCGCCGCCACACGACCCGGCGGGGAUUUU